UACGGAGGGUGCAAGCGUUAUCCGGAUUCACUGGGUUUAAAGGGCGCGUAGGCGGCCUGCUAAGUCGAACGUGAAAUCCCCGAGCUCAACUCGGGAACUGCGUCCGAUACUGGCAGGCUUGAAUCCGGGAGAGGGAUGCGGAAUUCCAGGUGUAGCGGUGAAAUGCGUAGAUAUCUGGAGGAACACCGGUGGCGAAGGCGGCAUCCUGGACCGGCAUUGACGCUGAGGCGCGAAAGCCAGGGGAGCAAACGGG
rnacentral:rRNA from 1 species